rnacentral:rRNA from 1 species
UUAGCUAGUAGGUGGGGUAACGGCUCACCUAGGCGACGAUCCCUAGCUGGUCUGAGAGGAUGACCAGCCACACUGGAACUGAGACACGGUCCAGACUCCUACGGGAGGCAGCAGUGGGGAAUAUUGCACAAUGGGCGCAAGCCUGAUGCAGCCAUGCCGCGUGUAUGAAGAAGGCCUUCGGGUUGUAAAGUACUUUCAGCGGGGAGGAAGGGAGUAAAGUUAAUACCUUUGCUCAUUGACGUUACCCGCAGAAGAAGCACCGGCUAACUCCGUGCCAGCAGCCGCGGUAAUACGGAGGGUGCAAGCGUUAAUCGGAAUUACUGGGCGUAAAGCGCACGCAGGCGGUUUGUUAAGUCAGAUGUGAAAUCCCCGGGCUCAACCUGGGAACUGCAUCUGAUACUGGCAAGCUUGAGUCUCGUAGAGGGGGGUAGAAUUCCAGGUGUAGCGGUGAAAUGCGUAGAGAUCUGGAGGAAUACCGGUGGCGAAGGCGGCCCCCUGGACGAAGACUGACGCUCAGGUGCGAAAGCGUGGGGAGCAAACAGGAUU